UACGUAGGUGGCAAGCGUUGUCCGGAUUUACUGGGCGUAAAGAGCGCGCAGGCGGUCGAAUAAGUCGAAUGUGAAAGCCCCCGGCUCAACUGGGGAGGGUCAUUCGAUACUGCUCGACUUGAAGGCAGGAGAGGGUAGUGGAAUUCCCGGUGUAGUGGUGGAAAUGCGUAGAUAUCGGGAGGAACACCAGUGGCGAAGGCGACUACCUGGCCUGUUCUUGACGCUGAGGCGCGAAAGCUGGGGGAGCAAACGGGG
rnacentral:rRNA from 1 species